rnacentral:lncRNA from 1 species
CUACAAAGCUCUUGAUCAUAUGCUUCAGAGCAGAAAACAACAAAAUAGAACUUAAACUCUAAGGAUUUAUGUGACUAGGAAAAAUUAUUUGUAUCCAAUACUAACCCUCCUUAUUAGAGAAAAAGUCAAGGAAGUUAAAAUCUAAUUUCUGGAAUCAAUCAAUAAACCAAAAAUUAUACUUUACUUUAGUUUGGAUAAGAAAUGAUUUCUAAAACAUGGCUCCAUUCUGAUGUAAAGACUCUGGGGAUAUAACCAUUUUCUUGUUCUCUCUUUCACACACAGACACACGCUUGUACGCUAUUAAAAGAAAAAGUACACCUUUUGAGGAACUAGGCAAGAUGUGUUUAUGUGUGCUAUGAAAGGCAAAAUGUGAUGAUUAUGUCAUUGCUGUUGAUCACGAAUACCUGUUAUUAAAACACUGGUGCAUUUCUUUAU